UAUCAAACCACUUACAACAACUUCUUUUUUGUUUUUCUAAAAAAAAAAACCUAAUCAAACCAUAACCCCUCUUUCUCUUUUAGUUUCUCACAUUGUAGCCUCCCAACACCUCUCAUAAGAACAAGUCUUAUAUCUCUCUCCAUCACAACCUCAAAACUCGACAACCCCUUUCCUUAUUGGAUUGUGAUCUUCUCCUUCGUGGACAUGGGUAAGAUAAUAGCCAUCUCCCUCACCUCGACGUGAGCUUCUCAAUAGACCAACUGAGGCUGUCGCUCUACGUCUGUGAUAAUAACAAUAAUCAGUUUCUAAAUCAAUAGUUUCUCCUUCCAAGACAAUGAUGAGCAGCAGAAACCAAGAGAGAGAGAGAGAAAGAGAUGAAACCCAAAAAUGAAUGCAUAAGGAAGAAAAGAGAAGCAAA